rnacentral:rRNA from 1 species
GACGAACGCUGGCGGCGCGCCUAACACAUGCAGGUCGAACGAGCGAGAGAGAGCUUGCUUUCUCGAGCGAGUGGCGAACGGGUGAGUAACGCGUGAGGAACCUGCCUCAAAGAGGGGGACAACAGUUGGAAACGACUGCUAAUACCGCAUAAGCCCACGACCCGGCAUCGGGUAGAGGGAAAAGGAGCAAUCCGCUUUGAGAUGGCCUCGCGUCCGAUUAGCUAGUUGGUGAGGUAACGGCCCACCAAGGCGACGAUCGGUAGCCGGACUGAGAGGUUGAACGGCCACAUUGGGACUGAGACACGGCCCAGACUCCUACGGGAGGCAGCAGUGGGGAAUAUUGCACAAUGGGGGAAACCCUGAUGCAGCGACGCCGCGUGGAGGAAGAAGGUCUUCGGAUUGUAAACUCCUGUUGUUGAGGAAGAUAAUGACGGUACUCAACAAGGAAGUGACGGCUAACUACGUG